UACGUAGGGGGCAAGCGUUGUCCGGAUUUACUGGGCGUAAAGCGUGCGCAGGCGGUUCGCUAAGACAGAUGUGAAAUCCCCGGGCUUAACCUGGGAACUGCAUUUGUGACUGGCGGGCUAGAGUAUGGCAGAGGGGGGUAGAAUUCCACGUGUAGCAGUGAAAUGCGUAGAGAUGUGGAGGAAUGCCGAUGGCGAAGGCAGCCCCCUGGGCCCAAUACUGACGCUCAUGCAGCGAAAGCGUGGGGACAAACAGGAUU
rnacentral:rRNA from 1 species